CUGGCGGCGUGCCUAAUACAUGCAAGUCGAACGGUCUUUCUAUGGAAGCUUGCUCCACUGAGAAGAUAGUGGCGGACGGGUGGAGUAACACGUGGGUAACCGUAGCCCAUAAGAGGGGGAGUAACAUCCGGAAACGGGUAGCUAAUACCGCAUAGUUUUCUUGAUCGCAUGAUUGAGAAAGGAAAGACGGCCUUUGUGCUGUCGCUUAUGGAUGGACCCGCGGCGUAUUAGUUAGUUGGUGAGGUAAUGGCUCACCAAGACGAUGAUACGUAGCCGACCUGAGAGGGUGAUCGGCCACAUUGGGACUGAGACACGGCCCAAACUCCUACGGGAGGCAGCAGUAGGGAAUCUUCCGCAAUGGACGAAAGUCUGACGGAGCAACGCCGCGUGAGUGAAGAAAAGGUUUUUCGGAUCGUAAAACUCUGUUGUCAGAGAAGAACAAGUUGGAGAGUAACUGCUCCAGCCUUGACGGUAUCUGACCAGAAAGCCACGGCUAACUACGUGCCAGCCGCCGC
rnacentral:rRNA from 1 species